GACGAACGCUGGCGGCGUGCUUAACACAUGCAAGUCGAACGGAAAGGCGCUUCGGGGUCCUCGCGUGGCGAACGGGUGAGUAACACGUGGGUGAUUUGACCUCCACUUUGGGAUAAGCCUGGGAAACUGGGUAUCAUACCCUAUAUGCUCAUAAGAUUCUUGGUCGGUUGGGGCAAGCUUUUGCGGCGUGGGAUGGGCCCGAGGCCUAUCAGUUUGUUGGUGAGGAACUGGCUUGCAAAGUAGCCGAGUGGUAGCCGGCCUGGGAGGGUGACCAGCGACACUGGUCCUGAGAGACGGCCCAGACUCCAACGGGAGGCAGCAGGGGGGAAUAUUGCACAAUGGGCGCAAGCCUGAUGCAGCGACGCCGCGUGAGGGAUGACGGCCUUCGAGUGGUAAACCUCUUUCAGCACAGACGAAGCGAAAGUGACGGUAUGUGCAGAAGAAGAACCGGCCAACUACGUG
rnacentral:rRNA from 1 species